rnacentral:rRNA from 1 species
GACGAACGCUGGCGGCGUGCUUAACACAUGCAAGUCGAACGAAGUGGCGAACGGGUGAGUAACGCGUAAUCAACCUGCCCUUCAGAGGGGUACAACAGUUGGAAACGACUGCUAAUACCGCAUACUGAAGGAGGGGAUUGCGUCUGAUUAGCUAGUGGGAGGGGUAACGGACCACCACGGCGAUGAUCAGUAGGCGGGCUGGGAGGAGGAACGGCCAAAGUGGGACUGGGACACGGACCAGACGCCGACGGGAGGCAGCAGUGGGGAAUCUUCCGAAAUGGACGAAAGUCUGACGGAGCAACGCCGCGGGAGUGAUGACGGCCUUCGGGUUGUAAAGCUCUGUUAAGCGGGACGCGGUACCGGAAUAGAAAGCCACGGCUAACUACGUGCCAGCAGCCGCGGUAAUUC